GACGAACGCUGGCGGCGUGCUUAACACAUGCAAGUCGAGCGGAAAGGCCCUGCUUUUGUGGGGUGCUCGAGUGGCGAACGGGUGAGUAACACGUGAGUAACCUGCCCUUGACUUUGGGAUAACUUCAGGAAACUGGGGCUAAUACCGGAUAGGAGCUCCUGCUGCAUGGUGGGGGUUGGAAAGUUUCGGCGGUUGGGGAUGGACUCGCGGCUUAUCAGCUUGUUGGUGGGGUAGUGGCUUACCAAGGCUUUGACGGGUAGCCGGCCUGAGAGGGUGACCGGCCACAUUGGGACUGAGAUACGGCCCAGACUCCACGGGAGGCAGCAGUGGGGAAUAUUGCACAAUGGGCGGAAGCCUGAUGCAGCAACGCCGCGUGCGGGAUGACGGCCUUCGGGUUGUAAACCGCUUUCGCCUGUGACGAAGCGUGAGUGACGGUAAUGGGUAAAGAAGCACCGGCUAACUACGUG
rnacentral:rRNA from 1 species